AACGCACGAGACCUGCGGACCUGCGGAGGGAUCAUUAAUGAGAAACUGCCCCUCGCGGGUAGAUCUCCCACCCUUUGUAAACUUACCUUUGUUGCUUUGGCAGGCCCGUCUCCGGACCGCCGGCUUCGGCUGGCCAGUGCCUGCCAGAGGAUUCUAAAACUCUGUCUGUCAGUGUUGCCUGAGUCUAUAUACAAUCGUUAAAACUUUUAACAACGGAUCUCUAGAUCGGAAGAGCACACG
rnacentral:misc_RNA from 1 species